rnacentral:piRNA from 1 species
UAGGAGAUUAUAAGUCUAGAUGCCUGC